GAGUGGGAGAGAGAGGGAUGCAGCACUGGCUGCUAAUUCAUUCGGAAACCGUGCUUGGGCAGCGGGCACUUUCCAGGCCCCAGAACAAGCUGCAGGAGGACAUGGCCAUCUUCUUUCUGGUCCUUGCUUGCCUCACUGAGAGGAAGGAUGGUGACCUAACUGGGAAGAUAACUACAACACUGUUUAACAACAGAGUGAAGGCACUUGACUUUUAUCGGCACCUGAUCUCACCACUGGAGUGCAUCCAUCCCUGGGAAUCCCAGGUUGCCAGGGGACUAUCUGUGCAGUUCAAGACUUUGGCACAGAGAAUAUGAAUGGAUGAAGGGAGCAAAAGCCCCAGCCUCCAGAUAUCUGCCUGGAACACUCUUCCACAUUGACACAAGUUUCCCUCCCAUUCUCCAUUUGGGUCUUUGGAUCAAAUAUUACCUCAUUAGAACUGCCUUCAGACUGGGGGCAAGAGGAACCCCCUACCUUGUCUUCUGAGCUCUCCAGUCCUCUUCCAGCCAUGCCCCUUUCCACAGAGUUAGAAGCCCAUGGGUCAAGGGGAUGUGCCCACCCAAAGCUCCUGUGCCUCACCUCUUCUUAGAUCAUACAGGGAGUACCCGAGACCCUAGAACUCCCAUUCCAAGAGUACCAGGCCAACUUCCAGAGACUACAUCAGCCUUUUCCUCAAGGUCUAUUCUCUUGAGGAACCAAGGAUGGGCUAUUUGCUAAAGGUAUGGCUGGAGCUCAGAUAUGCAGACAGGGAUGUUAUAGGUGCAGGCACAAAGUCCCAUGAAGAGUGGGACAGAGCUGGGGUGCAAAGAACGGGAGGAAGUUUGAGGGCCAGGGACCAGUUACCACCCAAGAAGCCCCAUUCCAGUGUACAUCUUAGGGGGAGUCUGAGAAUCCUAAACUUAAGUUUGGCCUUCCAGAUUUUUGUGACUGUGUACUUGUCAAGAUGAAAGGACAGGAUUUCUACCUAAGUUUAGACUGGCUUAUAAUUUUAAAUUAGGUAGAUAUACGUGUGGGGCUUCCCAGGUGCUCAGUGGUAAACAAUUCGCCUGCCAAUGUAGGAGACAUGAGUUUGAUCCCUGGGUCGGGAAGAUCACCUGGAGAAGGAAAUGGCUACCCACUCUAGUAUUCUUGCCUGGGAAAUCCCAUGGACAGAGGAGCCUGGAGGGCUGCAGUCCAUGGGGGUCGCAAAGAGUCGGAUGUGACCUAAUGACUGAGCACACACACAUGAUAUGUUUAUCUCCAUUUGCACUGUUUGCCCUGGCCCUGUAAAUAUCAGGGAUGGGUCUAUCCCUGACCUCCCUAUCUAAAAUAAAAUACCACUUCCUCUGUCAAAUAAAAUACCACUUCCUCUGUCACUUUAUUCUUACUUCAUCGUACAUUUCUUCAGAACCUUUGUCAACACAGGAUCUA
ensembl:lncRNA